GUGGUGAGGGAAUGACAUUAUAACCUGAUGUAAAGCUUAAACAGGUUGAUUUUACAUAUUCCUGCCCCUUUAAAACAAAUGC